AUUGAACGCUGGCGGUAUGCUUAACACAUGCAAGUCGAACGAGUGGCGGACGGGUGAGUAAUGCAUAGGAAUCUACCUUUUAGUCUAGGAUAACUACCCGAAAGGGUGGCUAAUACUGGAUGAUAAGAGAUGAGCCUAUGUGGGAUUAGCUAGUUGGUGGGGUAAUUGCUCACCAAGGCGACGAUCUACAUCUGGUUUGAGAUGUUGGUCCGCCCCACUGGUACUGUGACACUGCCCCGACUCCUACGGGAGGCAGCAGUUGGGAAUAUUUGGCCAUGGGCGAAAGCCUGAUCCAGCAAUUCCGCGUGUGUGAAGAAGGCCCUAGGGUUGUAAAGCACUUUUGUUAGGGAGAUGUUACCUAAAGAAUAAGCACCGGCUAACUCCGUGCCAGCAGCCGCGGUAAUUC
rnacentral:rRNA from 1 species